CCCAGACUCCUACGGGAGGCAGCAGUGGGGGAUAUUGCACAAUGGGGGGAACCCUGAUGCAGCGACGCCGCGUGGGUGAAGGAGCGUUUCGGCGCGUAAAGCCCUAUCGGCAGGGAAGAAGGAGGACGGUACCUGACUAAGAAGCCCCGGCUAACUACGUGCCAGCAGCCGCGGUAAUACGUAGGGGGCAAGCGUUAUCCGGAUUUACUGGGUGUAAAGGGGGCGCAGACGGCAGCGCAAGCCAGGAGUGAAAGCCCGGGGCCCAACCCCGGGACUGCUCUUGGAACUGCGCGGCUGGAGUGCAGGAGGGGCAGGCGGAAUUCCUGGUGUAGCGGUGAAAUGCGUAGAUAUCAGGAGGAACACCGGUGGCGAAGGCGGCCUGCUGGACUGCGACUGACGUUGAGGCUCGAAAGCGUGGGGAGCAAACAGGAUUAGAUACCCGAGUAC
rnacentral:rRNA from 1 species